AGUGAACGCUGGCGGUAGGCCUAACACAUGCAAGUCGAACGGCAGCACAGGAGAGCUUGCUCUCUGGGUGGCGAGUGGCGGACGGGUGAGGAAUACAUCGGAAUCUACCUUUUCGUGGGGGAUAACGUAGGGAAACUUACGCUAAUACCGCAUACGACCUUCGGGUGAAAGCAGGGGACCUUCGGGCCUUGCGCGGAUAGAUGAGCCGAUGUCGGAUUAGCUAGUUGGCGGGGUAAAGGCCCACCAAGGCGACGAUCCGUAGCUGGUCUGAGAGGAUGAUCAGCCACACUGGAACUGAGACACGGUCCAGACUCCUACGGGAGGCAGCAGUGGGGAAUAUUGGACAAUGGGCGCAAGCCUGAUCCAGCCAUACCGCGUGGGUGAGGAAGGCCUUCGGGUUGUAAAGCCCUUUUGUUGGGAAGGAAAAGCAGCCAGUUAAUACCUGGUUGUUCUGACGGUACCCAAAGAAUAAGCACCGGCUAACUUCGUGCCAGCAGCCGCGGUAA
rnacentral:rRNA from 1 species